GGCUGCACAGUGGUGCAGUUGGUAGCACUGUUGCCUUGCAGCAAGAAUGAUCUGGGUUCAAUUCCCAUCCGUGGGUCU